rnacentral:rRNA from 1 species
UACAGAGGUCUCAAGCGUUGUUCGGAUUCAUUGGGCGUAAAGGGUGCGUAGGUGGCGGGGUAAGUCAGGUGUGAAAUCUCGGGGCUCAACCGAGGAACGUCGGCCGAUACUGCCGUUCUUGAGGGAUGCAGAGGAGACUGGAAUUCCCGGUGUAGCGGUGAAAUGUGUAGAGAUCGGGAGGAACACCGGUGGCGAAGGCGGGUCUCUGGGCAUUUCCUGACGCUGAGGCGCGAAAGCGUGGGGAGCAAACGGG